AAGAAUUGGAUCAAAAUGCAUGUCAAGGAAACAAAGUUUAUAUUUUAAGUCAUGUCUCUUUGACCCCCAAAAACUUGAAGUAGGAUUAUAUAAAGCAAAAUUUGGAAUUUUGCAAAUUGCUAGUGAUAUUUAAUCCAGUUGCAGACUGACUCUCAGAAGAUGAGAGGAGAUAGAAGAAAGCAAGGGAAAACAAAUACUACAAUUUCAGGUUUAGUUGUAUUCUGACUCCUGUAGGUACUUGAAUCUCAUUUUAUUUCAGAAGUACUUGAAAGCCUGGUCUGUGAAUGUCUCACUGAAUUGUGAGAGAUGUUACACAAUUCCCCUUUCUUCCUGUGGCUAGAUGGAGAGCAAAACCUUGAAGUGGUAUAUUAAACAAUUGGGAAGCUUACUGAUGUUCGGCUUUCAUUGCUUCUGAAAUUUUGUGAGUAAUUUCUGGGAUUUCCUUUUAUUGAAAUAUUGUGUAUGUAUAUAUAAUAGAAAGGAAUUAUCUAGGCUACCUAAAACUGCUGUGAAAGCCAAAUAAGUGUAGUUCAAAACAAAGUGAGUCAGCUGGUUGAUUUUAAAAACAUUUCAGAACAGAGAAGUGAGGAAAUGCUACUUUAUAUUGUAGUGCUUACUCUAAAGAAGAAUAUGAUUGGUUGCCCUUAGGUAUUUUGACAGAAGUAGAUGAUUUAGUGGAAUGAAUCCUCGUAUGAAGGUGGUUUGUCUUAAGAAAGCAGUUCAGUUUACAAGCAAGAAAAGCAGAAGCUGACAAGGAAAAACAAAGUGAGAUGAUAUGGAAGCUGUCUCCAUUUACGGGCUGGUUUAGAUAUUAUCAAAAGCAUUACACUAGGAGUGCAUAUGCUUGCCUUGAAGUCAAGAUCAAGAAAGUUGUACUGCUUGUGGUACUGGAGCAAAUCCAAUGAAAAGUCUUAAAGAACAGAACCACGAGGUGACACCAGUUGAUGCAGCAUGGAAGGGGGAAGUGUUUUUGUCUGAUGGGACAAGGCCUUGAGACAGAGAAGGUAAGACCUUGAGAAUGCUUCUAAUUUCAGGAAUGGUAUCAGAAUAGUGUCUGACAGUAUAUAUCCCAGGUUAGUAUCUUACAUUAGAAAUGUUGUGUCUCUGCAAUUAACAAAAAUUAUAUCAGAUAAACUUGCUUUUUUUUAGACUUACUCCCAAAAUUAUUGGGUAAUGUUAACUUGGUAGAGUAAGACCUUUUAGCUGCUACUAGAGGCAAACAUUAUGAAAUUGCUUUUUUCCUUUUUAUUCAAACAAAAACAUAGAAAUUCUUUUUUUACUCCUGAAUCGAACAGUGAUUACUUCUUGUUACAAAUUACUAACCUUCAGAAGGUUGGGAGAAAAACAUUUCUCCCUCACGUGAUUCUGUUUUGUCUUAGCAAUAUUCAGACUUGUGAGUACGUGGGGAUGGCUGAAUGGAAUAGAUGAAGCUGCUUGUUAUUCAAUUGUUAAAAUCUCAAAUGUCUUAAUCUUGAUAAACUCUUUAGUACAGCAGUACUGGAAGUUUGAAAAAACAAAUAAAAUACAAAAGCACCUUGUACAUAAAGUUAUUCUGGAGUGAGGCUUUGUUAGAUCUUCCACAAUGAGGAGGACGGUCCACAGGUGUAUGGCCUUUCUGUGGAGAUUUCACUAGAAAAAUAAAUAACCAUGAAGAUAUGAUUGCCAAAAAGUUCCUAAAUGUUAAUUUGACCAGUACAUUGAAUGUUCUCAAGCAAAAUCUAGGCUCUCACUUCCUUCUAUGUCUUGCUGAUGCUUUUUGUGUGUAGUACCUCACAGAUGUUCUUUCCUGUUCAGUUACAUGGUUGAAAAUUAGCGCCUCAGCACUCAUUACUUUCUGAAAUUAAGUGUAAACCUGUCUGGGUUCCCGGCAUAGUGAGCUGCUGAAGUUUCACACAGAUAUGUGUUUGUAGAGUAUGGAUUAUUUAAUGGACAAAAAAACCCUACAAAUAUAGAAGAUAGCAUGUAAAAACUAGGAAGAAAGUGAGUUGACAGUGAAUAACCUCAGACUGAAGGUUUGGAGGUUCCUACUGAUUUGGACAAAGUCUUGCAGUGGUCAAAGGUUACCAGUGGGGAUUGAGAAGUCAAGAUUAUUCAUUGGUCAGUGGAUUCUUUUUCACAUGUCUCUCCUUUUGUCUUUCACUUCAGAACGUAUUAGAUGAUUAGAUGUUUAGAUUAGAUGAAUUAUUGCUGUGUGAUAAUUCAUGAAAGAGUUCUUGUCGGGAAGUUUCGAUACAAUGAAAAUGUUUAUGAGCCUGUUAAUUACCAAUCUAUGGCAGUGGUCUCAUCUUGCAGUUUGUGGUCUUUAGGUGAAAUUGGCAGUUUUCAAGACUGUGGAGGGUGAUGAAGGUGAGGAAUUACAGCCAACUCUUCCCAUAAUUGUCCCUACUGGACUGACUGGCACAGGACUUUGCCUUCCAGGUCUUGUUGUGUAAUAAUGCAUCACAACAGUUGUGAAUGUCCAUCAGAAAUAUUCCAUGCUUGAGAUUGUCUUCUAGACCAGCUGCUUAGAGCUCUGAAGUCUGGUCUUUCAGGGGAAAAAGAUGGCAUUCCAAGUAGGCUGGAACUGUUUGACACGCAGUUGUUAUUGGCAAUUUGUUUAUGCAAAAGAAAGAAUAAGUUGUAAUAGCUUUUAACAAUGAAAAUUGCUGCCCUCUAGCAUUUAAAAAUAAAUAAAUACAUUGAGUCGUCUCUUAAGAUCAUGAGUCUCAAGGAAUUUGACUUCUCUCCCCCACUGCUUUUGAUUUGUGAACCUCUCUAGGGUCCUGUCAGGUCACAUUCAAUCUUUCCUCUGCAAGAAUAAGACCUACGGAGGUGUAUGAUGGGCAGGAUAGAGAGAUGGGUUUUAAAAUGAAACUUAUUGAUUAUACAAUAAUUUGCUCCCAAACCGUGGGGUUUUGAGAUUAAAGCAAACACUCUUUAGAUUCUUGAUAGAUUAUCUAACCUGGCAACGGUGCAAAAUCCAAAGCACUGAAUCAUAAUAUAGCCCUUUCAAGGUUGCAUAAAAUCAAUUUGAUCACAACUUAAUUUUUACAUAGCAGAGAGGAUCCUCACCAAUUCUUGUAAUACUGGUUAUUCCUUACCGUAGUCACUGUGGGAACAAACCUGCUUCAGUGCUACUUCUGAGCAGGCCUAGCACUGUGCUGCUAAGUGUUCUGUGUACAGCUACUGAUGUUCUUCCAAAAGGAUUUUGUAACCCUUUUCCACUGUGAAAUCGUGUUCUCCUUCUGUUGUGUGAGAAGAAUUACAUGCAAAAGCAAGAUUGCAACUGCCGGAGAGAAAUACAUGCAGCAAAAAUUCUGAAGUAAUCGGAUAUGGGAGAAAACAGUGGGUGCAAAUACUGGAGAUCUGGCAAUUUAGAAAAUUCAAUUUGUGAAUACAAACUCAACUCUAGAUUUGUAACUUAAAUUGAAAUAAUAAUUCUUUCUCUUGCUUUCUCUGUUUUACUGCCCCAAUGAAAAUAGAGAUGCUGCAUCUGUGGAAUGCUCAAGCAACAGAGACCUUCCAGCUAUCCUAGAGUGGUCUGCUUUUUUAAUUCCUUGCGUUGCUCCAAGGAGUUCUAUUUAGUUGAAGAAGCUUAAUUUGGAAUUGCUCUGCACACAACAUUUUACACAAACACCAAGAAAAUGAUUUUUAAGAAAACUGUUUUACACUGUGUUUUAGGGGAAAUGUGAAGGUUAGUAUCUCUUAGCGAAUAUUUGCACUCGUAUCCUAUGUAUUUUGUGAAUCAGACUUUGUUUAAACAGGAGGUCCCAUAUAUUUAUGUUUUUUCUGUUACUGUAAUGGCCUUGUUGCAAAGGUUUUGUUUGCCUGUGUAGUUUGUAGUAUAGCUAGUGUCUUUAUUCAGGAGUAUCCUGAAAAGAGGAUAAAGGAGAAUCUUAGCAGCGGUCUUGAUGAACAGUUGCAUCACCUGCAGUUGAACCUCCAUUAAAACCAAUGGCAAAGUGAAUUCUUAGGGUCCGAUAGACUUUGUGAAAUGUUGCCUAUUGGACAGCAUUUAUUGUUCUCAGCUUUUAUGCUUGUAAGUGAGAAGAUACUUAAACUUUUGCCCUCUUUUUUGAGAUCUGAUAUUUUCCCAGUUAGACAAAUCCUUAGAAAUACGAAAUUAUGUAGGUUGCUCUGAAAAUAAUGCCUCCUAUUUAUUUCCAUAAAAACUACAACAGAUACAAAGAGCACAAUAACAUUAUUUGUUAAAGCAAACCAUGAGCUACAAAAUAUUAUUUUUUUCAACACAGUCACCACCAUUAACUAUAUAUUUUCACCAAUGAUGUACAAGAGCCUGCAUGCUGCACUUGUAAAAAUGCACCAGUGGAGGUGACCCGCUGUUACCACUGCUGAAAUGCUCCACUCAGUGCCUCAUUGUGGUCACAUCCACUGGUUGUUCUCCAUCAGUAUUCCACAAACAUCAAUGAAUGACAAUGGGUGCAAGUUAUUCUGCAUGGAGGAAUUUAAUUCCACACCUUUUCUUCCAUAUGCACUUCAAUGUCAGAGGCCACGUUUUCAGACUGCUCCUUCUGCUGCUAUCUGUCAUAGGGCAACGAAAUUGAAUGGAAUAUGGGUAGGAAGGUUCAACCUUUACUGCCAUAUCACCAACAUCCACCUCUGCUUGCGUGGGCUAAAACAAUAAAACAGGAGGCACUACUUUCGUAGCAGCUCUGGUGUGUAGGUAGUCGUUAAAAGUUAUAUUGCCUUUGCUGUUUAUAUAAUUUUUAAGGGAUAAAAAAACAACCAACGGGAUUCUGAAAAAGAUACUUGAUAUCCACCUGAUUCAGUUUAUGAUGGUGGCUGGAGCCAGGGGCAGGUUGCUCUGUGUAGGAGUGACGUGCUUUUAGGGCAAUGAUAGUUUUUAGUGGUUCAUUCUCUGCUGGCUGUACUCAAUCAACCUGGAUUUAAUGUUUUGUCAACCAUACCCUUACAGCUGCAGGGAUGUAGGUAGAAAGGUUGUUCAGGGUUAAGUUCUGAUGAGACCCAUGUAUCUAUCUGUGCUGCCAACGGUUGUGAGUUCCUGACUGAUGGCAUCCAGAGCCAGCUACCCUCAGAGAUGGGGCUGGCAGGGUGCUGUGUGUGCUGUGAAGGAGAGGUGUUGAUAACCUGCCUUGACUCACUAUAAAGAAUUGCGUGGCAACUUCAGGGGGGGACUGUGGAGUUGUGAAGAUGCCAACUUAUGCCUAUGCUUCCAAUGACAUUUUGAAGUGGGUAGUGCAGGUUUUAUUGUAUCUAAAUGGUGAUUUAUGUCCUUAUUCUUGCAUUAUUGUCCUCGAGGUACUGCCCUGUGUCACAGGGCUGUAUUACCUAAUUUUUUCAGACUGUUUCAUUUUCAUUAGUACAGCUGCUUUAGCUUGUGAUCAGUGUACUGCCCCUCAUUGAUAAUCCGAGGCAGUAUUAGCUGCACAGAACUGACACCUAACCCUGUCAGUCUGCCUGAUUGACCCCUCAGCUUCCGAAACAUGGGUUCAUUUUUUUUUAAAAACCCGGGUUAGCCCUACAUCCAUUUUCACACACAUUCUGGGCAGUUUAAAGGUUGGUCAGAAUUGAAUAUUGCUCUUUCAAAUUUGAUAAUGUAUGAGUACAGAACUGUGACCUUUGAUACACGGUAAUACAUCAACAUGACAUGAGCAGUAAGUGCAGCAAUUACCUUUACUACACUUGAGAUUGUGCUUUAGCUCUCAUCUUGUAAGCAAUUAUUUCAGGAAAAAAAAAAGGGAUGCUUCCAAGUUAAAUAUAUUUUGCAAAUAGUGUAAAUGCGGAAAUUAAUCUUUGGACGCGUUUUGACUUACAGGUGGAUGUUUUGAAAUGAAUCUUGGCUUCUAAAUUAACAAUGGUUCAGUGGCUGUUUCAUGGUACUCUUCCCUGAGAGACUACCUUUAACCCUUUUUGUUGUGCUCUGGUGUGAUCAGUUUCAUGUUUUGAUUCAUGGCCUAAGAGCCCGACCCUGCAAGCGGUUAGCAAGUUGUGUUUCCAUUGCUCACGAUGCAUUAUCAUCAUGCAUGUAACUUUUAUGAAUACAAGUCUGCAUGCUUUUUAAGUCUCUUCCAGUCACCUUGUGUUGACGGCUGAGUUAGCUUCUCCGUCAGAACUUCAUCUGUUUCCUGAGCAUAAACAAGUUUUCUUCCUCACCUGUUGUUAUAAAUUAUUAGCAUAAUGGCAGUGCCAACCUGGCAGACACUGAGAACCCAAAUCAGUACUCAUCCACAAAGAGCCAAAAGCCUCUGGAAAUCUGAGGAAGGGAGAGCUGAUAGCAGUUGUGGUUUCUGCUCUGUAGGCUCAAAAUCAGAAUUAAAUUACUGUGUUAUUCUGAGCAAGCAGCUGAAUCACCAUUGCAUGGUGACUUUGCAUCUCUACUGUCUAUCAUGAGCAAAACUUGAAGGAAUAACUUCAAGCAGAACUCCUUGUACUGUAAGAUCUGCUUCCUCAGCAGCUGGGUGCUGAGCUUUGUUGCCUUGCUGGAGUUGUGUGCUGAACUUUCUCCUCUGUGAAGAUUGUAAUUUGUAAUUCAGGAGCUGGGAAGGGUUCUGCUCUGUACUGAGAUUGCUAGAAAAAUUUCCUGGAGGAGGAACAACCUUUCUGACAGCAGUUAGAAAACUUGACUCAGUAGGGUCGUUGAUUCUCUGAGAGGAGCAGCAAAACAUGUGCAUUAGAUCAUUAUGUAAAUCGGUCCUAACCAAGCUCUUGAUCAUGCAACUGCUCUGCAAAGCCCCUUUCUUGGUUGGGUUUGUUUCCACAGGGAGUUUCCCUGGCCAUGGCACAGGCGGGUGGCUGUCUGCAAGCAACUGUGGCAACCCCUGUACAUAGCUGCACAUUGUGAUCUGUUGAGUCUUGUUUGCUCACACUGAAUUUAUUACUUCUAGUAACAGCUUAGGCAUCUCUUAUUCUUUUCUGUAAACAAUAUUGUAUAAUAGUAAUCCUUUUUUAAUUGUUACUAUUUUUUAAAGAACUGACAGCACUGGUAUUCCCCUAUGACAGUGUCCCACUCAGAAUCUGGAAAAUAUUCCCUUUCAUAUUUUAGAGAAGGGAGUGGAUAUGAUAUAUUUUUUUCAUUGUUCCUACUCUAGCAAUGAGUGGAAGCGUUCUGUUUAUUUUAUUUUUAAAGCUAGAAUUUUUGUUUGUAUCCGCUAUUCGGUUUUCUGUUGCCGGGGCCCUUUGAAAGGCAAGGAAUGACAGCACGGUUGUGGAAUAUAUUUUCUUCUCAAGGUUUAUCUUUAGACUUAUCUUAUAGGUUUGCAAUGGUGAAAACUUCCAGGAAGGAGCCUGUUAGAUUGCUGACCAAAUGGCGUGCAGUUGAAACGUAGGGACACUUGAUGGAAAUUACUCAACUACGUGCAACUUAUUGAGAAUACUCCAGGUACGCUAUAAUAAGGCAUUAUGCUCAUCUAGUCAUGGAAGCCUGAUCUAUUUGGUUUCAAAACCUCAGAUGCUUUAAGAACUUUCAGAAGAUGCAUUACAAGCAAGUGCAGUGAUUCUGGGGGAUGGAAUAUAGUUAGCCAUUGUGAGUGGUAGUGAAGGAGCCUCAGGAUGUAUAAUGUGAUAGAUGCAAUUUUGUUGGAUUUUUUUUUCCAAGGCCAAUUUAAUUUUGAUUUAUUUGCCUCAUUAACCCAAGGAUUCAGAAAAUUGAAUGCCACCUGAGUGAGGUAUUAUUAACGCUAGUGAAAUAUCUCCAAAAUUGCUCCAUGCUUAUAAAUUGGUCUUUUGAAAGCAUUUUAAAGGCAUAAUGAUACCGUUGUGAAAGUGUACAGCAUCAUUUAAAAAUUGCAAAAUGCUUAUUUGAUUUCGGAAAUCAGACUUGGUCACCUGAUUUAAAUGUAUACUGAUCUAUUAUUUAUGCUUUAAAAAUAGAGCUGAUAAAAAACAUAAGUGUUCUUGAUAUUAUAUUUUGUCAUAUCUAGCUAGAAAGAUUGAAACCCAGAGAAACAAUUUUCUGAAGAAAUGAAAUAGUAUGCCCUCCUGAACCCCUGGGGAAAAUAGCCUCUCUGUUUGCUCAGACUACGAAGCAGUAAAAUCAUAUAAGUAAAACAGACAGCCCAUGUCACAUUCCUAUUUGUGCGGUCGGGAAUGAUGCUUUAAAAACAUUUUCUAGUUAUUUUUGAUAAAUAAAUGGUGCAAAUAACAUCUGCAAGCCAACCCUGCUGAUGUAAGAUUUUUCAAAUCAGGUUUGUUUGUCAGUGUAAGUCAGAAAAUUGCCUUGCAAAAGUAAAGUUGUAUAACUCCCCAAAAAUAUGCAUAACAAAUGUACGCGAAUGCCUUGCUCUACUUUUACCUUUCCUCUAAGAUGGUAACAGUGAAUCUCUACCAUCUUUGCAUUUGGUCUUGGAAGGUAGCUUGGUGAAGUAUCAAAAAGCUCAGUUGCUAAACACAGGCGUGUGUAGAUGUGUUAAAUAUCUGAAUGCUCAAAUUGGUGCCGAGAUGUCCAGCAGUCCCUUUGGAAUGGCGUAUGGUGGGUCAAGCCUUGAGAUUUCCUUUUGAGCCAGUAAUGCCCUGGAGGAAAAUGAGUGUAGGGGUGGUCAGAGCCUUUCACAGGUGAUGGGCGGGGAGGAACGAAGGGAACAAUGAGUGUGUGUUGUUUCCUGGCUGUUGCUCCCUGCAGGUUGUGCCAAAAGCUGUUGCACUGAGGGAGAAUGGGAAGUAUUCAAAGCCUGGUGGCUUCCACAAGUGAACUCAUCAGUGAGUGGUCUUUGGCUCCAUUUUCAUUUCCUUCACAGAGGUAAGAGUUGAGAUGGGAAAAAAUUCCCUGGCAGCAAGAUUCAAGUCUGACAUCCCAACUCUACAGAUGCCCUACUGCCCAGGACUGGCUGAGUAAGUGUGUGUCCAAUCAUCACCUAAAAUGUGGCUCAUUUGAGGGAGUGGGAUUUCAGAUGCCUUCAAGGGAUGUAUGUCAUCAAGGCAAAAUGUAUUUGGACAGAUUUUAUUCCCUGCCUUAUACUUGAGACUUCUGCUGUCCAAGGAAUUGCUUAAAAAUAUAACUUCAGUAAUUUUUUUGGUAAGGAUUGUCUGUCAAAGGACUGCUGAAUUCUGAUAUAUCUGCAGACUGCAAGAGGGAUGUGUUUAUUUAAUAGAGACCAAAAAAAGAAGUUUUUGGUAAACCUUUAUAUAUACAGUGGUUUAGUAAACUCGUUUGAGCUUAUACAAAACUGGAAUAUUUUAUUUUGAUACCUGAACAAAACCCAAACCCUUAAGGGGCUGAUUUAGUCUAACUGCGUUUUACUGGGUGAGUCUCUCUUCAUUGAAUGAGAAAAGUCCCAGGCAGGGAGCCAUUGUCAGGGUCAGGGGUUGAAUUCUAGGAAAGUUAUUUUUGUGUUAUGGUUAUAUAUGUUCACUGCUGUAUAUAACAACAGUGUUGAUAACAGAGAAUGUGACACUUCAAAUCUGUGCAGAUAUUUCUGUACAGCAAACGCAAGAGUUGAACACGGUAAUAUUAGAUCCUGAAAAUUCCAGCAUUAUUUAUCUACCCAAGAUUGCUUUUGGGCUUCUCUUUGGCAAAAGGCUCAAUUGAUUUAGUAAAACAUACAUCUACCCAUAAUUUUCAUUUCUUAAUGACAAGGACAUUAUGCAUAGCCAUGACAGGAUAUCGCCAUGAUUUUAUUGAACCUCUUUUUUUGCACCAUUUAUUUGCUUGGAAAUCUUGUUUUUAAUGUGUUUGUCUCAAUAAUUAUGAAUUCAAUUAUUUGUUCAUAUUUUUUGAUAAGACACUUCAUGGUUUUUACAGGGCUUAUUUGACAAGCUCUUGGUGGCAGGCAGGUCGUUUCACUGCUGGCCCUGAGAACACUUGCACAGGGCAGGGCAAGGACUUGUCUGCACUGCUUACCUUCAUUCCUCCUCUUAGGAUGUUAUUUAACAGUGUUGCAUCUUCUGUCCAUCCAGAAGACUUUGGAGGGAAAAGGUCUUUUUCAUCUGUUUCAUUAUGUUCUGAAGCAUGAUAGGAUUGUAGGUAAGUUUUCUUUAAAAUUAUUGCUAUUACCCAUUGGACUGCCAAGGAGCAUCUCUAGAACACUCAACUGAAUGAAUGUUU
rnacentral:lncRNA from 1 species